GGACUUGCCAGGUCCUUUUCGGCUGAUUAGGAGAGGGAUGGGUUCAGCCCUGUAUCAGAAACCAUCUGCUCUCAGGCCGGAGGCACAUGUAUGAAGCAAGAUGACUCUGAGGGGUGGUGAGUACACUCAGAUAAGCUGGGAGUGACCAGCCAAGGCAAGCACACCCAUCCCAGAACCCAGCAGAAGAAAGGCUCUUCAAGGCGCCACAUGAGGCACCACCAUCCCAUCAUUAGAAGCUUGAUGCUCUCAUGAUGUCUACUGGAUUCCCACCCAGGUCAGCCUUGUAGACAAUGUCCCUGCUGCGAAAUUAGUCUUCCUGUUUCUCAUGAAAAUGGCCAGCCUACUACUAAUACAGAUGUAAACUAACACCU
rnacentral:lncRNA from 12 species